rnacentral:lncRNA from 1 species
UGAAAAUAGGUACUUAAUAGAUAACUUGAGUAAUUCAAAUCAAAAGUUACGUCUUAAUCGCGCCGCAUCUAGUCAGAUAAAUUUAAAUAAUAAAUAUAAGGGCCUAAAAUUUUAAAAGUAAUUGAAAUGAGACUUAAAAAUUUAUUCUGUAAGAUCAUAAAAAAAACUAAUUAAUAAAUUGUUAUAUAGAUAUUUCUCAUUGAAAUCCAUUUCAAUUUAAUUAAUAAAAUUAACUCGUAUGUUUAAUUAUUAAAAACGAAACUUUAAGCCCAUUGAUAAUAAAAAUAGGUUCAUAAAUUAGACUUCAAUUUGAUAAUUUAAACAGAGCCCAAAAUAAUAAUAAUAAAAAAAACCCAACAAUAUAUAUAAAAUCUAAGCCCACAAACUAUUUCCCUUUUUCCCUUUUACCUUUUUCCUCACUCUCUCUUGUUCAGCACCCAUCACGAAUACACGAUGUACACACACCGACACAAAUCACACAUAUACACCACUCACACACACAUCACACAAAUCACACACGCACACACACUUACACAACACAGCACACACAAAUACACACAAUUCGCUGCACCCUCUCCGGUGUGCGCGAUAGUUUCAGAGUGGAGGUUUGGGUGUUGGAAUUUGAAGAAAGAAAGAGGCAACUUUAAUUGGGCCGAGGUUUUUUAGAGAAAAAUAAGAAAUAAGAAAACUAAAUACUGCUGAGACUUUUAACUGGGCCGAGAUUUUAAUUGGGCUAAGAUUUUAAUUGGGCCGGGACUUUUAAAUAUCGAAGAGUGUUUGUGAAUAGUUUAAAGUUUUGUUUGAAUUGGCAUAUUUUCUGAAAAAUUCUAUGGUGUAUUUUCAAUAUAAAUUUAUGCAGAUUCGGUUUCAGAGAAAGAGAAAAGGUAAAGGGAAAUUCCAUAAAAUCAAAAAGAAAGAUUCGGUUUCAGAGAAAGAGAAAAGGUAAAGGGAAAUUCCAUAAAAUCAAAAAGAAAUUUUUGGUCUGCAAAGUCUUUCUCAAAUCUCCUCCUAAGACUUACUUCAAAUUUUCCCAUUGGAUGUGCUUUAUAUACCUGUAGUGUCUUUUCUGCUAGAAUUUUGGUUAUGAAUUUUCCCUUGGGGAGGAGAUUUAUUGGCAUCUAUGGACGCGAUCGAGGAAUCGUCGCAGCUCUUCGACUCGAUGUGGCAGGCGGCGGCGCUACUUGCUGGCGACGAGUAUGAUAGUAUUCUAUCCCAGGGAAUGAGUUAGGUUCUGUUUUGGGCGAUGAUUGAUGAGAGCCUUAACAUUUUGUCCUCUUUUGUUUGAUUGAGUAUUUCUCAUUUGAAAUCUA